rnacentral:tRNA from 1 species
AUACUCUUGGUGUAAUGGUAACAUGCCGGUCUCCAAAACCGUCGUUGGAGGUUCGAGUCCUUCAGGGUAUG